GGAAGUAAAAGUCGUAACAAGGUUUCCGUAGGUGAACCUGCGGAAGGAUCAUUACCGAGUGCGGGCCCUCGCGGCCCAACCUCCCACCCUUGUCUCUAUACACCUGUUGCUUUGGCGGGCCCACCGGGGCCACCUGGUCGCCGGGGGACGCACGUCUCCGGGCCCGCGCCCGCCGAAGCGCUCUGUGAACCCUGAUGAAGAUGGGCUGUCUGAGUACUGUGAAAAUUGUCAAAACUUUCAACAAUGGAUCUCUUGGUUCCGGCAUCGAUGAAGAACGCAGCGAAAUGCGAUAAGUAAUGUGAAUUGCAGAAUUCCGUGAAUCAUCGAAUCUUUGAACGCACAUUGCGCCCCCUGGCAUUCCGGGGGGCAUGCCUGUCCGAGCGUCAUUUCUGCCCUCAAGCACGGCUUGUGUGUUGGGUGUGGUCCCCCCGGGGACCUGCCCGAAAGGCAGCGGCGACGUCCGUCUGGUCCUCGAGCGUAUGGGGCUCUGUCACUCGCUCGGGAAGGACCUGCGGGGGUUGGUCACCACCAUGUUUUACCACGGUUGACCUCGGAUCAGGUAGGAGUUACCCGCUGAACUUAAGCAUAUCAAUAAGCGGAGGA
rnacentral:rRNA from 1 species